rnacentral:rRNA from 1 species
GAUGAACGCUGGCGGCGUGCCUAAUACAUGCAAGUCGAGCGAACGGACGAGAAGCUUGCUUCUCUGAUGUUAGCGGCGGACGGGCGAGUAACACGUGGAUAACCUACCUAUAAGACUGGGAUAACUUCGGGAAACCGGAGCUAAUACCGGAUAAUAUUUUGAACCGCAUGGUUCAAAAGUUAAAGACGGUCUUGCUGUCACUUAUAGAUGGAUCCGCGCUGCAUUAGCUAGUUGGUAAGGUAACGGCUUACCAAGGCAACGAUGCGUAGCCGACCUGAGAGGAUGAUCGGCCACACUGGAACUGAGACACGGUCCAGACUCCUACGGGAGGCAGCAGUAGGGAAUCUUCCGCAAUGGGCGAAAGCCUGACGGAGCAACGCCGCGUGAGUGAUGAAGGUCUUCGGAUCGUAAAGCUCUGUUAUUAGGGAAGAAAAUAUGUGUAAGUAACUGUGGACAUCUUGACGGUACCUAAACAGAAAGCAACGGCUAACUACGUG